rnacentral:rRNA from 1 species
UACGUAGGGGGCAAGCGUUGUCCGGAUUUAUUGGGCGUAAAGAGCGUGUAGGCGGCCAGGUAGGUCCGUUGUGAAAACUCGAGGCUCAACCUCGAGACGCCGAUGGAAACCAUCUGGCUAGAGUCCGGAAGAGGAGAGUGGAAUUCCCGGUGUAGCGGUGAAAUGCGCAGAUAUUGGGAGGAACACCAGUGGCGAAGGCGGCUCACUGGACCGGUACUGACGCUGAUGCGCGAAAGCGUGGGGAGCAAACGGG